UACCAGCACCCCGAGUGGUCGGGACGAUUAUUGGGCCUAAAGCAUCCGUAGCCGGUACUGCAAGUCUUCCGUUAAAUCCACCUGCUUAACAGUUGGGCUGCGGGGGAUACUACAGCGCUAGGAGGCGGGAGAGGCAAGCGGUACUCAAUGGGUAGGGGUAAAAUCCGCUGAUCCAUUGAAGACCACCAGUGGCGAAGGCGGCUUGCCAGAACGCGCUCGACGGUGAGGGAUGAAAGCUGGGGGAGCAAACCGGAUUAGAUACCCUAGUAGUCC
rnacentral:rRNA from 1 species